GCGUUUAGCAAAGUUCCCAUGAGCAGCUGCUUUUGUAGAAAGCUUGGGAAACUGACUGAAACUGACUGAAACUUACUGAAACAUAAACAAACUCUGAUGGAGUUCAAUGAACAAAACCUGGGAAAGAAACUUCUUGUUGAGGUUGGACAUUUGGACUGGAGAAUGUAUGGACGACAAGGACAAUUUCCAGAAACCAGAAGAUGAAGAAGAGACAAAGACUGAGUUUAUGUGUUGGAAAGUCCUGACCGGAGGAAAAGGAUACAAAGACUGAAAACGUGGAUCAAUUAGCAUAAGAAGCAGCGCUGCAGCCACUCCCCAUCCAGGAGCUCGGGACAAAACAAGUUCUUGCCGUGUCCCCUCCCAGAACACACCAUCGCAACGGGAGAUACAGAAACAAAUUCUUUAUUCAUUUUCCAAUGCUCUGAAACCCAGCCUGAGCCCAGGCAGCACCUCUGCAGCUGCUGUGCUGGGCUGGGCUUUUCCCCCUCAGAAGAACUGGAUAAAGCUCUGCCUCCUCUGCUGGCAAAACUCAGGAAUGUGUCUCCAAUGGCAGCCCAGAGAAGGAGAAAGAAAAUUAUUUUAUUGGAGGCUACAGAGGCAUCUCCUACUCCAGGCAGCAGCAGCCUGUUUUAGAGGAAGAUGAGGGAUGGAAUUGGGGUGUAGCCACCUCAGUGCUGGAGCUGUGCCAAUGCAGCCUCGGGCUGAUCCCUCAGAACAGGAUUAUUCACCAGGGGUGAAACACAAAUUGCUAAGCCAAAGCAGGGUCCCACUUUUGGAGUGCAAACAGUGAUCAGGCAGGCGUGGAGGGUCUGGGGGAGAGGUCUCUCCCAGAUCAGCUGAUGGGGACAUCCACGUGAGGCCCACGGGUCCCUUAUGGGACUGUGACACGGGGCAGGUGUCCCAGGCAGGCCUGGGGAAUCACCUCAGGGACAUUUGGGGACAUGUCCCAGGCAGGCUUUGGGAAUCACCUCAGGGACAUUUGGGGACAUGUCCCAGGCAGGCUUUGGGAAUCACCUCAGGGACAUUUGGGGGGACAUGUCCCAGGCAGGCCUGGGGAAUCACCCCAGGGACAUUUGGGGACAUGUCCCAGGCAGGCCUGGGGAAUCACCUCAGGGACAUUUGGGGACAUGUCCCAGGCAGGCCUGGGGAAUCACCUCAGGGACAUUUGGGGACACAUCCCAGGCAGGUCUGGGGAAUCACCUCAGGGACAUUUGGGGACAUGUCCCAGGCAGGCCUGGGGAAUCACCUCAGGGACAUUUGGGGACCUGUCCCAGCACCAGGCUGGUGAGGUGGGGUUUUGGGGACAGGUCAUUCCUUAAAAGGCACGAUUCCAAUGACACCACUUUAUCCAGAGCAGGGUUUCUAAUGUAACACACAUUAUUUAUACUCCCAUGAUCCAGCAGACAGACCAAAAACACAGGGCUGCUCUAACCAGGGCAGAAGAAGGUUUUUCUCAUGUCACCAGUGACAAUUCCCCACUUACAGCAACAUAUACACACAGCACAGCCAGGCUGUUAAUGCUCCACACUAACAGAGGCAAGUUAAUAUGUAAACAUGUUUGUAUUUUAGAUAUUUGGUUUCUUUGUGUUUUAGUUCUGCUGAAAAACUGAAGCAAACCCAUGUUCUGCAGACUCCAUGUUGCCUUUUGCCUGUGCAGCCUCCCACUCUCAGGUUUGCUUUAGCUGAUGCAUUUUGCUGGUGAACACAACAGCAGAGGGGCAGCUGCUCAGGAAACAACUUUUAUACCUUUGGUUACAGCCUUCUGUGUAAGUUGGGCUUCACCAGCCCAGUUAGUAGGCAAAUGGGUGUUCCAAGCAUAAAAGUGCACCAAAAGGGUCAACCAGAAUGGCCACUAUCUAACCAGAACAUGAACUAACCUAAGUCAGUAAUCAGGGUAAUUAAUAAGGCAUUUGGGGAAAAAAAAAAAGAAA